AGCUUUGCGCAGUGGCAGUAUCAUGGCCAAUGAGGUUUAUUUGAGGCGCGAUUAUUGCUAAUUGAAAAAUGACUGCUUCAAUAGGUCCACAAAAGAUCAUUUUAAGCAAGUCAUAUAUCCCUGAU
rnacentral:snRNA from 1 species